AUAUCAAUAAGCGGAGGAAAAGAAACCAACAGGGAUUGCCUCAGUAACGGCGAGUGAAGCGGCAAAAGCUCAAAUUUGAAAGCCUUCGGGCGUUGUAAUUUGGAGAAUGGAGUCUUGGGGCGGCGGCUGUCUAUGUUCGUUGGAACACGACGUCACAGAGGGUGAGAAUCCCGUGCGAUAGCCGCUUUAACCGUAUAAGACCCGUUCGAAGAGUCGAGUUGUUUGGGAAUGCAGCUCUAAGCGGGAGGUAUAUUUCUUCUAAAGCUAAAUAUUGGCGAGAGACCGAUAGCGAACAAGUACAGUGAUGGAAAGAUGAAAAGCACUUUGAAAAGAGAGUGAAACAGUACGUGAAAUUGUUGAAAGGGAAGGGUAUGCAAUCAGAGCUGCCAGCGUCAGUUUUGGUGGUGCGAGAAUGGCACGGGAAAGUAGCUUCGGUGUUAUAGCCCGUGCUGAUGGCACCUACCGGGACUGAGGUCAGCGAUUCUAGGACGCUGGCAUAAUGAUUGUAUACCAC
rnacentral:rRNA from 2 species